rnacentral:rRNA from 1 species
AUUGAACGCUGGCGGCAGGCCUAACACAUGCAAGUCGAACGAGUGGCGGACGGGUGAGUAAUGUCUGGGAAACUGCCCGAUGGAGGGGGAUAACUACUGGAAACGGUAGCUAAUACCGCAUACCAUCGGAUGUGCCCAGAUGGGAUUAGCUAGUAGGUGGGGUAAUGGCUCACCUAGGCGACGAGCCAUAGCUGGUCUGAGUGGAUGACCCGCCAGACUCGAUCUCAGGGACGGUCCGUACUCCUACGUGAGGUAGCAGGGGGGUAUAUUGCUCGAUGGGCGCGAGCCUGAUGCAGCCAUGCCUGGAGUAUGAAGAAGGCAUGCUGUAUGGAAAGUACUUUCAGCGAAGAGGCGUUUCUCGCAGAAGAAGCACCGGCUAACUCCGUGCCAGCAGCCGCGGUAAUU